rnacentral:rRNA from 1 species
AAUCAACGCUGGCGGCGUGCCUAACACAUGCAAGUCGAACGCGAAAGGGGCUUCGGCCCUGAGUAGAGUGGCGUCCGGGUGAGUAACACGUGGGCAAUCUGCCCUCGAGUCUGGGAUAACCCGGGGAAACUCGGGCUAAUACCGGAUACGGCUACGGGGUCUUCGGAUCCUGUGGAGAAAGAUGGCCUCUUCUUGAAAGCUAUCUCUCGAGGAUGAGCCCGCGUCCUAUUAGCUAGNGGUGGGUAACGGCUCACCAAGGCAAAGAUGGGUAGCUGGUCUGAGAGGAUGACCAGCCACACUGGAACUGAGACACGGUCCAGACUCCUACGGAGGCAGCAGUAGGGAAUUUUGGCAAUGGGCGAAAGCCUGACCCAGCAACGCCGCGUGUGGGAUGAAGGCCCUCGGGUCGUAAACCACUGUCAGGAGGAAAGAAAAGUCGGCCGGGUAAUAUUCGGUCGACCUGACGGUACUCCAAAGAAGCACCGGCUAACUCCGUGCCAGCCG